rnacentral:lncRNA from 1 species
AAAACAGCCUCAGACUCGCAACAAGAAUUGUCAAAACUCAAAACCUGCAGACAUCUUUGUUGGUCGGAUGUUACCAGCAAUUUUUUGAUAUUCUGCAGAGACAACGUCGGCUGUUGAUCCUAAAAGUCCUAGAAUUUUGAUGAUUCGUAAUGGCUUGAAUACAGGUUCGAGGAAUCAUUUCUAACUAAAAUUUUAACUCGAUUCGGUAUAUCCACGCACAUGUAUACUACUACAAACCUCCAUUUCCCACUUCGUAUGUAUGUAUAGUAGUAGGAUGAUCCUUAGAAAAGGGGAGGAGCAAAAUGUGUAAAUGUUAUAUUUUUUUGCAUGCCUUGUUUGAAUCUUUCUUCUGAGUUCUGAGGAAAAGGGUUUCAAUGCCUUCGAUUUGUACCAUUCUUUUUGUACAACUGAUUCAAUGUUUUGCAUUUAGACUUUUUGUGGAUAAUUGAAGGUACCAUAAUUGACAUGGGUAACGAUUACUUAGGGCCGUUUGAUAAUUAUUUUGAUUCGAGUUCUUUUUGUUUUGUUGAAAUAUUGUUCUCAAAUGUUCCCUUAAUUCAGUAUCUGACGGUCAAAUAUGCGACUAGAAAGAGAGAAUGUCAUAUUUGAUCAUAUUAGAAUGUUAGACGAUGAAUGGAUUUAAGUAAAUGCAUGUAUAGGCAUGCUGGUCCAAACCCGAAAAUGCAAGAACAAAAGGCAUGUUGGGCUUAUGGACUUCGCAUUUUUUUUGGGCUUCAGGGCUUGUGCGUUGUGAGAUUUCAAUUGGGCUUUUGUCCACAUCCUCUCAAAUAUUAAUGGAAUAAUUUUAAUUUAGAGAAAUCCGAAAACAAUUAUUUUUCAAAUCCAUAAAUAAAAAUAUUACUUUCAUCACAUUUUAUCAUCUCUAAUAGCAUAUGGGUACACACAAAAUGUGUGAGAAAUUUUUUUAUUUUUAUUUUUGAAAUAGAAGGAGAGAGAGAGAGUGAUAGAGAAUGUGGGAGUAAGAAGUUUUUUUUUAUUUUUUUUAUUUUUUUAUUUUUUAAUUGGAGAAAUGUUAGGAUUACAUGUAAGUGAGGUUUUGAAAAAAAAAAACACAGCAAAAUUUGGUUAUGUGAAAUUACAUUUCUACCUCAUAUUUCUUAUUCAUGUUCUUUUUUUAAUUAGAAUGUUAAACUGAUAAUUUCAUAGAAUUUUGAUUCACAAUGAGUAUUUUAUUAAUUAAUAGAGAUAAUAAAAGGUGGGAUCCACCAAAACAUGGUAAGUCUAGCAUUACUCUUAUUAUUGUAAUUUUCCCGUGUUUUGUAUAUCGUUGACAUUUGAUCGUUAUGCCGUGAAUUUUCAAUCCGCAUUUCACUAUUUUUUUUUUCAUUUAGUUCAACAAUUUAAAUUGAAUAUUUGGUUAUUUUAACCAAAUUAUUUUUAAUGUUUUUUUAAUCUAUUUGAUUACUUGACCUAAUUUAAUCUCUUUUUUAUUAUUAAAAUGCAUAUUAUUAUUAAAGAGAACGAAUAUGAUUUGAAACUAUUACAAUAAUUUAAAGAAAGAGAGUUUCAAAAUGGAAUGCAUAAAUAAAAAUCCAACAUCUUUUCAACAAGAAUAUUUGAUAGAACAGACACGACUAGAAUAGACACGCACAAACACAAAUUAGGGUUUUGGGGUUUCUAGUGACAUUCUAAGUUUGGCCAAUUCAAUAUAUACUUUUCAGUCGGUAAACCAAAGCAAAUAUUUUGUGUGGCAUGCAAUAUUUAAGUUAGCAUUAUAUUAUAAUAAAUAUAGAAUAUUGGCUUUUCCAUCAAUUUUUAUCAUGUGGACAAGUUACAUCGGACCAGGAUAUUGGUCUAAGUUUAUUGUCAAUUUGUCACCGAUGUCCCACCUUUGGAUGGUCCAUAUAAUAUUUCGACGUUAUCUUCUUCGUCGACAUCUCUACCAUGUAAUCAUUUUAUGCAGCCGACCCGACCCAACCCAACUUCGUCGACAUCAGUUGUCCCCAUUUUUCCAAAAAAAAGGCCUAUUUUUGUUUUGGUUUUGCUGUCCAUUCAGACAUUGCAUCUCUACCUCUUGAACGUAUCUAAAUAUCGCAAUAUAUGAUUGAGCUAUUUAUAAUUAUGUUCACGAUAGCAACUUAUAUGAUACAGUUUGCAAUAUAUGAUUGGGCUAUUUAUAAUCAUGUUCACGAGAACAACUUAUAUGAUACAGUUAUAUAUCACAAAAAUAAAAAUUAACAUUUAUAUUGUGUAAUUAGUCCAAAACGUGUAGAGAACGAUGAAUUAUUGUCGUAGAAGUCAUUCUCCCCAUCAGAAAAUUGAGAUUGGAAUAAUACCAGAAAAAUAGUAAGAUGGGACAUGGGAGAUAGCAAAGCUCUUACCAAAGUCUAAACCAAAACAAGAAAUUUGUAAUCAAAACCGACACAUACUAUGAUACUAUACUCCUCUUUCCUUUUCCAUUUUAUUUCCUUCAAUUUCUUUCAAUCGUUACGACAGCUUGUUUUUCUCUGUUCCCAAACACUACCCAACCGAAAACCAGAGUAUCAUUCAAAGACCCAUUUCUCCGCCGUUUCUCCUCCCAUAAACCCUAGAGAUUUCUGCUCUUCUUUUCUUUGUCAAAGUCUGUAUCUUUUUUCUUUUCAUCGACUUUCUUAUAUUUUUUCUGAAAAAAAAAUGAAGGAACCCCAACUGGGUUUCUGGGGUUCUUUCGCCGUUCUGCUCCUUUUGUUUUUCUCGCUGUACCCACCAGUACACUCCCAGUCCGGCGGCGGCGGCGACGACGGAGCGGCCAUGGAAGCACUCCGAAAAAGCAUCGGCUCCAACAGUCUCGGGUGGUCCGGCACCGAUUACUGCAAAUGGGGAAAAGUGAGUUGCAAGGACGGCAAGGUUUUCAAAAUCCAAUUGGGUAACCAAAAACUCACCGGCACGCUGCCGCCGGAAAUCCAAAAGCUUUCGAAUUUGCAGCAGCUGGAAGUUCAGAACAACCAACUCACCGGGCCUUUUCCGAGCCUCUCCGGGGUGCAACCGCUUCAGGUCCUCCUCGUCCACGACAACAACAUCUCGUCCUUCCCCUCCGAUUUCUUCACCGGACUUACCUCCCUCGACAACAUCAACAUCGACUACAAUCCCUUCGCUGCGUGGCAGAUUCCCGACAUUCUCAAAGAUGCCACACAGCUGAAGGAAUUCUCCGCCACCGAGACCAACCUCACCGGAAGAAUUCCCGAUAUCUUCAGCAGUUCCAAUUUCCCAGGUUUGACUGAUCUACAUUUGGCUUUCAAUUACCUUGAAGGCGAAUUGCUUGCUAGUUUUUCGGGUUCGAGUAUUCAGUCCCUCUGGUUGAACGGCCAACAGGGCACCAAUAGGCUUAAUGGUACUAUUGAUGUGUUACAGAACAUGACUUCUCUGCGUGAGGUUUGGUUACAUGGUAAUUAUUUCACCGGUCCUAUACCGGACUUGUCGAACUUAGGUUACUUGACCACUCUGAGUUUGAGGGAUAACAAGCUCACCGGCGUUGUUCCCGCGUCUUUGUUGAAUCUUAAAUCCCUUACUUCUGUUAAUUUGACCAACAAUAUGCUUCAAGGACCAAUGCCCAAGUUUGGCGAUGGGGUUCUGGUGGAUAUGACGGGGGUAAAUAGUUUUUGCAGUGAUAAGCCGGGUGUUGAUUGCGACGCUCGUGUCAAUGUAUUGCUUUCGGUCGUCAAAGACAUGGGUUAUCCUACUGUUUUUGCAGAUAGUUGGAAGGGGAACGAUCCUUGUAUUAACUGGAUGGGAAUUACGUGUAAUGGUGGAAACAUUACUGUUGUCAAUUUUCGGAGCCUGGGUCUUUCGGGUACGAUCUCUUCAAAUUAUUCUCUGCUUACCUCCUUGCGGACAUUGAGACUUGACGAUAAUAACCUCACGGGUACCAUACCAAAGGAGCUUACGCAACUGCCCAACCUUCAACAGAUAGAUGUUAGUAACAACCAACUUUUUGGUCAAGUACCAAAGUUUAAGAAUGUGGACGUGAAAACAGAUGGGAACCCUAAUAUUGGUCAGGAUCAUCCCCCUUCGCCAGCGACGCCUACAAUUCCUAAUUCACCGCCUGCCUCCCACUCAGAUGGAGGUAAAAAAUCUAGGACUGGGGUGGUUGUUGGGGCUGGCAUCGGCUGUGUUGGCGGAUUGGUUGUAGUUGGGUUUGUUGCUAUCUGUCUACUUAAGAAAAAGCAUAAGCAUUCUGGCGGAGUGCAAAGUGCAAACGCAAGUAGGGGACCUAAUGACAUUCAUGUGGUUGAGGCUGGAAGUAUGGUCAUUUCGAUCCAAGCUUUGAGAGAUGUGACCAAUAAUUUCAGCGAAAAUAAUGUAUUAGGAAAAGGUGGUUUUGGAACUGUGUACAAAGGGGAGUUGCAUGAUGGGAAAAAGAUUGCAGUGAAGAGGAUGGAAUCUGGAGUGGUGGCGGAGAAGGUUCUAAAUGAGUUCAAGUCUGAGAUUGCAGUUCUUACUAAAGUCCAACACCGCCACUUGGUUGGACUUCUUGGCUAUUGUUUGGACGGAAACGAGAGGCUUCUUGUUUAUGAAUACAUGCCUCAAGGGACUCUUAGUAGAUACUUGUUCAACUGGAAAGAGGAAGGUCUGAAGCCACUUGAAUGGACUAGACGGCUGACCAUUGCCUUGGAUGUUGCAAGAGGGGUUGAGUAUCUCCACGGUUUAGCCAGCCAGACUUUCAUUCACAGGGAUCUUAAACCUUCGAACAUUUUACUGGGAGAUUAUAUGCGGGCUAAAGUUUCGGAUUUUGGACUGGUUCGUCUUGUUCCAGAAGGGGAAGCCUCAAUUGCGACAGGACUAGCUGGAACUUUUGGCUAUUUGGCUCCAGAGUAUGCAGGUAAAACAUUUCUAUAUGCACUCUUCUUUUCAAAUUCCAUUUGAGUACCGUGAAAGGUAUUUGCAUUGUAAAGUAUGAUUAAUAUUCCAGCAAAUGUCAUUGUUCAAUGAACUAAGACAACUAUGAGAUUAUCUCUCACUGAUUAUUCUUUGUGCGAACUGCCGGAAAAAAUCAGUGACCAGGACAGAAUUAGGAAAAUAAUAUUCUGUCAUGAAAGUGUGAUGGCAUGCUAAGUAGUUUAUAAUUUUCAAAAUCAGGGAUGCGAAGAAGAUAGAAAAGAAUGAAAUGGCUUUUGUCUGCGAUGAGCAUUUGUUGUCUCUAACAUGUUGACUGAAUUUAUAUGUAUCUGAUGUAGGAUUAUUGGAAAGGUUAACAAAACCAUUCAGCUCAGUAUUUUAUAGUGUCGUGUUGCAGACAUUUUCCGCUUGUUCCAUAAUUAAUGUAGCGUCUGUUCUGCGGUGCGUUUUCUUCUUGCUAUAGCCUCAUGGCAUUUGGUCAUAAGGUUUGUUGUACUUAAUCAUGCUUACUGUCUUUCGAUUAAUAAAAAUUCAAGGCACUAAAACCACAAAUUUGUAAUGUAUCAGCAACUGGGCGGAUGACACUCAAGGUUGACGUGUAUAGCUUUGGAGUGAUCUUAAUGGAGCUGAUCACGGGUAGAAGAGCAAUUCUUAAAAGCGAACCAGAGGAGAGCUUGCACCUUGUUACAUGGUUCCGCAGAAUGCUCAUUAACAAGGAUGCACUCCGGAAGGCCAUUGAUCCAACAAUUGAUCUCAAUGAGGAAACUCUUUCCAGUAUUAACACUGUCGCUGAGCUUGCUGGGCAUUGCAGCACAACGGAGCCCUACCAGAGGCCUGACAUGGGUCAUGCAGUCAAUGUUCUUUCGUCGCUUGUUGAGCGUUGGAAACCAUCUGAAGCCGAAGAUUCUGACGGUAUGUAGGGAAUUGACCUCGAAAUGACCUCAUGCAGUCAAUGUUCUUUCGUCCCUCGUUGAGCACUGGAAACCAUCUGAAGCCGAAGAUUCUGAUGGUAUGUAUGGAAUUUACCUCAAAAUGUCCUCGAUUCGGUAUAUCCACGCACAUGUAUACUACUACAAACCUCCAUUUCCCACUUCGUAUGUAUAGUAGUAGGAUGAUCCUUAGAAAAGGGGAGGAGCAAAUUGUGUAAAUGUUAUAUUUUUUGUAUGCCUUGUUUGAAUCUUUCUUCUGUGUUCUGAGGAAAGGGGUUUCAAUGCCUUCGAUUUGUACCAUUCUUUUUGUACAACUGAUUCG